AGCCGCCCCGCUUCCUUGCGAAGCAGUCCGAAGCACUGCGUCCAGCAGCAGUUCCCCAUCGCAUGCCGCCCAGGCGCCGCCGCUCCUCCUCCUCCUCCCGCUCAAUGCCCAAACCCAGGCCCGGCAGCUGCAUCCGCACGGCACGAGCCGAAAUGGGGUUCAAGGACCGAGGGCGGGCCGGCCAGAGCCCGGCGGCGUGAGGGCACGGGGCGACGAAAGACGAGGCGCUAGGGAACAAAGGCAGUGUUUACUCCAGCGGCCGCAGAGCCACCGCUGCGCGAGGGAGGAGCACCGGGCUCAAGGCUCUGGACUCCCUCGCCGUCCGCAUGGCCCUUCUCGCCUCAGCUCCUAGCCCAGCGUGAGUGACCGCCUCCAGCUGCCGAAGGAGGCCAGUCCCCGCGAGCCGAGCACCCUGGCCCCGCCCCCAGCGCGCCCAGGCCCCUGCUCGCCGCCAACGCUGCCACACCCCCGGCCUCUCCCGCGCCCCAAUUGGGCGCGCUACCUCGGUGCCCCGCCUUCUCUGGCGACCGGCCUGUGCGUCACUUCCGCUCGCUCCUGGUUCAGCCGCCUCUGCCUGCGAGACGGUUCAAUUCCUGCGUGCGGACGUUUGUUUUGUUGGACCUUGACCUGACUAGGAAAUUUCCCUCUCUCAUUGCAGUUUCGGGCAUCCUCGUCCGGAGCACGCUGGGCGUGGCAUGGCUAAGGCUCAGCCUUCGAACUUUGUAUCAAAGGCGUGUGAGGAGCCAGAGUCCCAGGCCGGAAGUCAUAAGUGCGAAGGGGCGUUUCUCUGCACGGUGUGCUUAGUUUUUGUUAAUACUGCACCAUAAGCGGAAAAUAGACUCGGGAACUGAUUGAGGUUACUUUGAACGCACCAAGAUUUUUUUCCGGUCUCUGGUUUGUGUCUUAAUUUCCAUACUGUUAAUGUUUUAGGGAAACGUAAUAAUGGUGCAUUAUUGUCCUCGUUUUGUUUGAAAAUCAGAUCUUCACAUAAUUUUGGGUUGGGUAGUUGGGGUUCAGAGGAAAUUGGCAAGAGGGCUGGGGUUUUUCGGGGACGUCAGCGUUGCCAUUCCAAGCAUGCUGCCCAGAACUGCUGUAGAUGGGAAGAGAAAGCUGCUCUAAUGUGUCCGCAGCCCUCUCAAGUGCUACCAUAUAAUUCGCGUCUUGUUUGGCCUCAAGACAGUUGGCCUCACAAUAGAUAUAAGAUGUGGUUUAGUAGACACCUCGUCCAGUGGAUAGGAGGAUGCUCUCAUGGACUGGACACAUCAAGUUUUUAGCCUGUUUAAUUAAACCUAGAAAAAUUGUUACAUUUUAGAAAGUUUUUAUUGAUGAUAAAAUGUUCUCUGAACUCAUUUUCUUGCUUCUUUAAAUACGUAUCUGGUUUCAAUCUUAGCACUGCUACUUACUAAUGUUUAUUUUAUUUGGGUUUUAGUUGUUUUGUAAUCAGAAGCAUAGGAUAACAUUUGUCCCAAUGGUUUGCUUUCAGUGAAUGUUGGGAUGACCGAAUGACUUCCUAGUGAAAGCAUUUUCUUUUCUCCUUCCAACCCCUGAAAUUAGACAAAUGUAUUAAUGAAAUAAUCAUUAAAAUUCAACUAUAAAUGUUUACAGAAACUGGUACAUCUAUCCUAUGGAAUAUUUAGUAACAAAUAGGAACACAGUAUUGAUGAACACACCCUGAAAUGAAUCUGUAGGAAAUUAUGGUUAAAGAAAAAGCCAAUCUCAAAUGCUUAUAUACUGUGUAAUUCCAUUAUGUAACAUCUCAGAAUUGAUAAAUUUAUGUAAGUGGACAACAGAAUAAUUGAUUGCCAUGGGUCAGGGAAUGGAAAUCCUGCAUCUUGUCUAUAUUAAUGUCAGUAUUCUGGUUGUGAUAUUGCAAUAGUUUUGUAACAUGUCACCACUGGGGGAAACUAGAUUAAAGAUAUACACGGUCAUCUGUAUAUUAUUUCUUAAAACUGCAUGUGACACAAUUGUCUCAAUAUAAAAAGUUUGAUUAAAAAAAUGCAGCUAUAGACUUGACAGCACUUCCUAUAGACAUUCUAUAAACCGUUAUUAAAACUGAAUCUCACUUAAAAAUAAUUUUUUUAUAGUAAAUCUGUUCUCUCAGUUAAGGAUAUGAAUGAUCCUCAGAAGCAAUACAAAUGAAUAAGACAUUUAAAAACUUCACUAAGCAAAAUAAUGCAAAUUAAAAUGCAUGUUUUAGUCAUUUGUAUUGAUUCACUUGUCAAGUUAACAAAGCUUUACAGUUAGAAAUAUUCAGUAUUUGCAAGGAUACAAUGAAAUGGUACUAUUCUAAACUGCUGCAGAUAAUGAAACUCAUUCUGAGAAAUUAUUUGGAAAUACCAAGAGCCAGAAACAAACUAAAUGCUCAAAAAUUGAAGGAUGAUUAAAUUUGCUGGUGUAUUCUUGUUAUAUAGACAUAAUAAAUAUAUUUUUUAAAACAAUAUGGAAAAAUGCUUGCUGAAUAAUGUGUGAAAAAUCAGGAUAGAAAAUUAUAUGUAUGUUCCAAAUGAUGUUUAAAACAAAACAUAUACAUUCUUACAUUCUUUCUUACACGUGUUUCUUGAAAAUAAAGGCUGGAUGGUAAAUAUCAAAA
rnacentral:lncRNA from 1 species